rnacentral:rRNA from 1 species
UACGGAGGGUGCAAGCGUUAUCCGGAUUCAUUGGGUUUAAAGGGUGCGCAGGCGGAAUUUUAAGUCAGUGGUGAAAGCCUCUCGCUCAACGGGAGAACUGCCAUUGAUACUGAAAUUCUUGAAUGUGGUUGAUGUGGGCGGAAUGUGUCAUGUAGCGGUGAAAUGCUUAGAUAUGACACAGAACACCAAUUGCGAAGGCAGCUCACAAAGCCAUUAUUGACGCUCAGGCACGAAAGCGUGGGGAUCAAACAGG